GGAACUUCCUUCCUGCCCCCUCCAACUUCUGCCUCCCUCACUGGCAUCAACCCAGCGCCUCCAUUGCUGACCUCGACCAACCUCCACCUGUGGUCCUUCCUUUACUGCAGCAAUGACACUGUUUUCUUCCUUUGUUCUUCCAACCCCAGGGCACAGAAACUCUCUCCACUGCAGCCGAGGAUUGCAGGAGAAGUGGCAUCAGUGAUUCAAGACUGUUUUUCCUACCUCUUCGGUGUUUCUUUCAGUGAUAUGAAGUUCAGGUACCAUAAGUGCUCGCCUGAUUUUGCUUUUUACAAAGGUGCUUUUUUGGUGUGGAUUGUUGUUACAUUGCUGUCCUUGCAACGGGGGACAAUUGUUACAGCCUUCUAUUCUGCCAUCUUGUUGCACCCCUUUUAUUUUGUCCUUUUCAUACAUAGAAGAGAACUUCCUGUCAAGUCAGACAACCCAAAACCCCAUCCAUUGACUAUUUUCAGCUCAAAGUCUUGAGUUCCUUGGUUCAUGCAUAACCCUUUCUUUUAGGUCUGAAUGUGACCUGAUGUUUUCAUGGCUUAGAAACAGGCAGCUAUAUGUGUCACAUGCACAUGGCCACUAUACAACAAUGAAGCCCGGCCAGGAUAGCCUCAGUAAAAGCUCCCAUUCUGAAAAGGGAAGAAUAAGAGAGACACAGCAUCCACUGGUUAAUAGCAGUUGUAAAAUACAGUGGACACACAUAGGGAAAGCCUCCUCCAAUGUGGGGUACAGAAAAUUUCUGGAUUAGAUCCUGGCUCUGCCCUUUGACUUCUAGAAUGUUUUACUGUAAUCAUUUUAUUUCCAUGGCUACAUCUGAAAUGGCCAUGGGGAAUAUGUCUUUUUUUCCCCCUGAGGCUUCCCAGGUCUCAACCUGAUUUGAGUUAAUAAAGCUUGUAGUUGCCAUCCCAGCCCAUUUCCUGACUUUUUUUUCCUUAUUUUAUGGGAAGAAGAGAGAGAGAGAGACUUUUAUUAGUUUUAUGCUACUGCUAUUUAAAGCUUUUCAGUUAUACACAGGUAAACCUAAUGCAAACAAAAUUAAAUGUUUUCUGUUUGAGUCCAUUUUUGUCUCGUAUUAUUACAAAGUCCAACUUUUGAUACUGUUUUGUUGUACUAUAUUUUCCUCAUAUACCUUGUUUCAUUUUUAAACAUUUUAAUGUCAGUUUUUUAACUAAUAAGUUUAGACAUUCACAUUUAUUGGAAUAACUGUUGCAUUUGGAUUUUGCAUCAUAUCUACUGUAUUCUAUUCAUCCCCAAAGGUCCUGGUCCAUUCCUCUACAGUGACAAAAGAUAUUUCUCCCUCUCCUACUGUAGACACCCAUUAUCUCUUCUCCUCAUGAAUAGAUUCCCUUUUCUUUGCCUCACACCCUUCUGGCCUACCUUUUAUUCCAUCUAUUCCUGCUGUAACCAGCUGCACACAGUAGUAAUUUGAUAACAUCUCACCUCAUCUCCACUGCAUAGCAAGUCUUCCCUGCCUUGGUGCUUUCAUAAAACCAGGCAUGAGUUUAUAUGCACAGCUUGGGAAGGACAAGAGGCUUCUAAGUUCAGAGGCAACACCUAGCCCAUGGGAGAUACAAGUGCAGUUAUAAAAUACCCCCACUUCUGUGCAUCAAGAGAAAAUGAUGCAUACAUUCUAUAUGGCUCUUCAGGGUCAGUGGAAAUGAACUCUAGGUGCCCACAGCAAGAAAACAUCUUAUAUCAACUUUUUCUCCUUUCCUAUUUCAUUCUCCUAAGUCCUCUGCUCCUGUUACAUGGAAUCACUUAAAGAAAAAAAAAAAAAUACUGACUCAUAAGCCCUUGUUUUAAGUGCUGCUAAGACAAUAUUCUUCAUGUGAAAUAACCUUCCCAUCU
ensembl:lncRNA